CUUUCAUUGAGACAGUUGGUAAACUCUCAAGACUCAGUCCAUAGGAAAGAACAAGAGAAAGAAAAAGAAGAAAAAUGGCAAGAUCUUUCUUCCUUCUGGUAGCUGUCAUCGUAGCAGGUCUGGUCUGCUCAGCUGUCGGCUCUAGGGGUGUCACCCCCUGCCGUACUCCCCCCCGCCGUGAAGUGUCCGGUUGCAAGAAUUUCUGUAACAAUGAUAAGUUUCGGACAAUAUACUUGCUGCGACGAAGAUGACAGCCCAAAAAGCCACCAAGGACGCUGCCCCAACAACCCCAAUCACCCCUCAGGAGACGGAAGCCCUCUGCGUCGGUUUUCCCGAUCAUCCUUUGCCACAGCGACAGCGAGUGUAACGAUAACGAGAAGUGCUGCUACACCCUCGACACCCAGCACCGUAUUUGUAGAAGAUCUCAUUAAGUAGAACUAGAGCGAGCAAGGGAGCCGUUUCAAGGCAAAUCCCAACUACUACUACAAAUGCAAGAUCUACUUAAAUAAAGAAGAUGGUUUAAAAGAGCUAGGAACCGUUUUCACAGGCUAAUCC